ensembl:lncRNA
UGUACUUGCGAGGCAGGCGGCAGAAUGACUGAGCUAAAUCCUCGGUCUGCAACCUGGAUUAUUUGAGGUUCUGCGGGAGCUAAGAAGUCUGUCCUUUCUCUCAGUAAGGUAGUGGAAAAUGAAGUAACAUAAGGUGUGUGUGGGAUGGGAGUAAAUAUGGGCCUGGAAUCCCACAUAAUUGCACGAUGGAAAGGUGUUGCCAAGGUCACUGAAUGGAGACAAGGACAAGGCUUGAAGUCUGGCUGCUCGUGUCCUGGCCUGUUUCCACCACAGGACUCCACUGUCACAUGGAAUGUGUCACCUUCCCAACAAAGCCCCUGGGGUGCUGCUUCCAGGCAAGACAGGGCCCAUAGCAGGUGGGGGAGCCACAUGAACCAUCCUACAGAAACACCACUCAAAUGGAGCAGACAGACCCAAACCAGGUGUGGCCAAGACCAAUGACAGAUUUGCUUCUGGAGAGUAGAAAGGGGGUAGGACUGGGAGGCUCCACCGGCCCACAUCUCACCCAUCCUGGUACUUCAGAGACUGGGCCCCAGUGUCACAACUCUGCCUGACACCUGCUUCUGGCAAAGUAUGUACUUUAUAUGUCUGUCAUCACAGGAUCAAGUGUUUGUCAGUGUUUAACAUGGUUAUAAAGAAGAUCUAGAAAAUUUGUAGCCUCUGAGUUCUAAAAUUCCCGAGUUCUACAGCCACAGGUAAGGUGGCUUCAGUGAAGUAAUUAUAGAAACAGUUUGUGGGAUCCAGACCACAGUCCAUAAGUCUCUGAUGGGUGUUAUCACUCCAAAGAGGCAGGAUGUAAAAUAAACAAAUGUUUGGACCAACCUAAGGCACCUGGAUGUGCUCCUCCAUCUCAAAUGCUUUUCAGAGCAGACCAAGAAAGUUCAUCAACCCAGGACCAGAGCUGUUUUUUCUUGGCCAGUGUGCAGUCAACCAGUCCUGUGGCAGUGCAGAGUGACUUAAACGUGGCAGAGGUGUCUGCAGGGCAGUUGGUAGCAGUUUCACAGCAUGUCCUGAAAGAACAUCAGCAAGCCAAGGUCAAAGGUCCCUGGGACCCUGGACAGGACAGGUCCAGGUCCACCCCAGAACACUCUCCUCUGUUCUUCUUCAAACUGAAUGUGCGCCUCCCCCAAAGGAUUGACCCUGUACCUACGAGUUCCUUGAAGUCAUCCCGCUCUGUAGAGAUUCCACUCAGUCCUUUCUGGAGCACAGGAAGAAGAGAGCUGUUCUAACAUUCCUCCACACUGCUGCUUUUCAAGGAUGGUAAUAAGAAAGACAUGGAAGAUACUAAAUUCCCACCUAUGGAAGACUAUUCUCUGACAUGAAUUCCACUUGUGCCAAGGCCAGCAUUUGAGGGCCUUGAAUUUUGGACCUGGAAACUACUGGUCCCAGAUUUAUAACCAUUGCUGUGUCUCAACCAUCUGUUCCCACAUACAUCUAAAAUGUAUGAAAAAAACAUUUGCUCUAAAAGAUACUGGCCAGGAAGUGCAGCGUAGGAAUAUCCCACCUAGCCAGAGUCAUUCAUAUGGACCAAUUUCAGGCUUUGUCCAUUUUAAAGGGGGCAUUUCUCAUUCAUAAUAGAAUCUAUUCCAUGCCAUUGGAAGUAUUAGAAAGCAGUCAGGUCUGCUUUAAAUGUCCAGUGGUAUCUCUCAUCAAAAAUCCUUGGCAAUUUCCAUCUGUAGAGUUAACUAUUCAUGUGGUUCUUGUGAGAGUGAAGAGUCCUUUCAGUAGUUUUCUUCUUGCCCUUCUUUCUUCCUUUUAACAGCCUAUUAUUGAGUCUUUAUACCAUGUCUAGACUUUGAUUCCAGAAGUUAGUUCCACUGUGUCCCUUUCCAAAAGACUCAGUCAUGCCAUGGAAUCAUUUCUAGUACAAAACCAUCAAGUACAGAUGCAGAUAAUUGUCCUGAGCAACAUCUCAAAGACAGAUGAGAAGAUUUUGUACAUGCUAUUUUGACCUUCAAUGGGGAGAAUUUGGCUUUCAGAUGAUUGUGAAGCACAGCUCAUUAUUCUUACCUAUGCCACACCUUUGUCCAUAAAUUUUAGAUUCUCAGGAAACGUACACCCAUCAAAAAUGUAACCCAUUAUCAAAGUGACAAAGAGGUGUCAUGUGUACAGCAAACAUACAAAUUUGUACUCAUCAUAAGCAAGAAAUAAUGUCUCCCCAAGAAAGGACAUUUAGAGAAACCUCAACAUCUUUCAAGUUGAAUCCAAGCCAAAAUUAAGCUCUUUCAAAUUCUGCCUACUGAAUCUGAAUUAAAUCUGAAUUUGAUUAAUUGAAUUACAUCUGAGUGACCUCAGUGUCUUUGGAGUUUGCUUUUCAGACUGCUGUGUGUGUAGAUAGGAUCUGAAAGACCCCAAACUUUCCUUUCAGGACAGAGUAAUUUGUCUCUCUCUCUCUCUGUCUCAGGUUUCAGUAACAUACAAUUUCUGAAAUAUACGGA